AGAAGAACUGGUUCUUCCAUCUAUGAAUGGACGACGGAAGACCAGUAAUGAAAGAAAGCCCCUUCCGAGGAUUGAAGUACCACCACCCUCGGGCUUUAGGGUGGGGUCGGAGGACGAAGAAGGCUCGGAAGAGGGAGAUCCGAGGAUCAGUCGGCAAAAGCCGACACAGAAGAGCAAAACUGACUAUUAGCCGAACUGAGUUCGGCG
rnacentral:lncRNA from 1 species